rnacentral:ncRNA from 1 species
GGCGAGCCGCGCACCGCGGCGACCGGACGAGGUCACGUACCCGGAUCGCGACAAGACGUGUCGUC